AGUAGUGGCGAAUGAAGCGGGAAAAGCUCAAGUUUGAAAUCUGAAGUCCACUUCAGAGUUGUAAGCUGAAGAGGUGUCGACCGACUUGGUCCGGGCCCAACUUCCUUGGAACAGGAGGUCAUGGAGGGUGAGAACCCCGUCUGUGGCUCGGGUGCCUUAGUCCUUGUGUCGUGCCCUCGAAGAGUCGGGUUGUUUGGGAAUGCAGCUCAAAAUGGGUGGUAAAUUUCAUCUAAGGCUAAAUAUUGGCGAGAGACCGAUAGCAAACAAGUAGAGUGAUCGAAAGAUGAAAAGUACUUUGAAAAGAGAGUGAAACAGUACGUGAAAUUGUUGAAAGGGAAGCGUUUGGCAUCAG
rnacentral:rRNA from 1 species